rnacentral:misc_RNA from 1 species
AACAGUCAUGCAGUAGCUUUGGAUUGUUGCUUUAGAUAGUAGCUUCCUUCCUUUCACAUGAAUCAAUGAGUCAUUCUAAGAAUUCAUUUUUCUUUUAUGGGUUCUUUUGCCUUUGUGGUCUCAUAUGAACAGAAACAUACAGUGCCGCUAAAGCUAGAUUGGUGGUUGAACCAGGAGAAAGGUAACCGGUUGCGGAUUCAGUAAGCUGAAUGGUUG